rnacentral:piRNA from 1 species
UUGGACGAAAUGCCGGUGUCAGGGUGGACC